rnacentral:rRNA from 1 species
AACGAACGCUGGCGGCAUGCCUAACACAUGCAAGUCGAACGAGACCUUCGGGUCUAGUGGCGCACGGGUGCGUAACGCGUGGGAACCUGCCCUUAGGUUCGGAAUAACUCCCCGAAAGGGGUGCUAAUACCGGAUAAUGUCUUCGGACCUAAGAUUUAUCGCCUUUGGAUGGGCCCGCGUUGGAUUAGCUAGUUGGUAGGGUAAAAGCCUACCAAGGCGACGAUCCAUAGCUGGUCUGAGAGGAUGAUCAGCCACACUGGGACUGAGACACGGCCCAGACUCCUACGGGAGGCAGCAGUGGGGAAUAUUGGACAAUGGGCGAAAGCCUGAUCCAGCAAUGCCGCGUGAGUGAUGAAGGCCUUAGGGUUGUAAAGCUCUUUUACCCGGGAUGAUAAUGACAGUACCGGGAGAAUAAGCUCCGGCUAACUCCGUG